AGCUUUGUAGUAUAGUUUCAAGUUGGGGGUAGUAAUACCCCCUGCCAUGUCUCUGUUACCUAGAAUUGCUUUUGCUAUUCUGGGUCUCUUCUUGUACCAAAUGAAUUUUUGGAUUGUUUUCUCAAGGUGUAUGAAGUAUGCUGGGAUUUCACUUGGAAUUGCAUUGAACCUUCUUGGUCUUAUUCUUAUGACUGGUUAGGUGUAACAGAACAGCAGUCAAUAGAGGGUUAAUCCACACUGUACUGGUGUUCAAGGAUACUGGGGUGUCCAGGGGUGCCUUCUAGGCUCUUGUCCAUAUUCUCACACUUGGUCUUCAUGUUUUCACAGCUACUGGAGUGGUGGUGUUCCACAGGCCGUCCCAGACUUCAGCACACUGACCAGACUCCAGUCACUUCACAAGCUGCUUGGAGCUGCACUCUCUCUCCCACUGGUCCACAGUUUUAUAAGACAGGUCCAAUGGAAUCGGGACCUAUAUCUGGUUGAUGUGCAGCCCACCAAGGUGGCCUAGGAGAGCAACAGCAGGAUGGUGUCAGAGGAGCUGCUCCUGGAGGUGCAGGGGACCCCGGUGGCCGGGCUCACCACCAGGGACGUGCUGCAGUCAUCAGGCACUGCGAGGGCCCGCUGCGGCUCAAGUGCAUCCAGUGAGGACAGCUGCAUGAUGUCCCAUUGGAUGACCAUGAGGACAAAGUGCUCGCCCACCCUGAAGCCAUUGCUGGCUGCGCUCAACCUCCUGGAAACAGAUCCCGUGUUUGUCUCUUAUCGUUGCUUUAAAAUGAUCUGUUACUUAGUAGUUUUAUUAUAAAAUGGUUAUUGUAAUUGAGGGUUAUGUUAAAUUUUUCAUAUUUAUUUCAAGAAAAGGGAAUGAAAUGAUGGAUAUUUUAAUCUUGGGAUGGUAGAAACUGUUCUUAUUUUCUCUGUCCAAAAAAAUAAGGGAGGUUUUGAAUUAGUCUAGAAGUUUAAAUAAUGUUAAGAGUGGGUUUCCUUUCUAGAAGGUGUUAAGUUCUAAUCAUUACUUCAUUGUCACUUCAAAAGACUUGAUUUUUCAGCACUGUGGUUUGAGAUGUGUGUGUUAAUAUAUCAGCCUUGAAGAGGA
rnacentral:lncRNA from 1 species